rnacentral:lncRNA from 10 species
GCUUUCUGCUGUGACAGAGCAGCACUGAGUUCAAUGCCAUGUCUCAGAAUUUCUGUGUUCUCCCUCUCCUGGGUGCACAGAUUCUCCAUGCUGUGAGGCUGAUGCCAGGGAAUGGGCAAGGGGUGGCAAUAGCCAUUUCUACCAUCUGUAAUGCCUCUUUCAGCAUUAUGAAUUCAAAACCAGGUCAGGUAGAGGAUACGCCGAAGAUCACACUCCGCUAUUUUUGUCUGUUAAUGUGCACGCCCAGGAAAUUUCUUCUCCAUGAGGAAUUGGUGAUAUUUUUAUUGGUGAUCAGAAAAUAAUAAAAAAGUAUUAAGAAACAAGCCAAUAUUUAAACAUUAUAGAAAACUGCAUUAUUAUUCACUAGAAUUAUAUAAGCAACAGGGAGAUUAUGCUAGUCAUUCAUACAUCAAUGCCGAGCACACACUAGGUACACAGAGCUAGUUAUGAUGCUGAUGCUAGAUGAUGCAACUUAUGGAAACAGAGUGAAAUGAAUAAUCCACGUGUAUCUGCCUCUUGUACAAGCAUGAAUGCCAUAGAGCCUUGCUGAAAAAUUAAGCCCAAGGUAAUUUAUAGAUUGAAUGCCAUCCCCAUCAAGCUACCAAUGACUUUCUUCACAGAAUUGG